rnacentral:rRNA from 1 species
ACGUAGGGAGCGAGCGUUAUCCGGAUUUAUUGGGCGUAAAGGGUGCGUAGGCGGCUUGUUAAGUAUGAAAUUAAAGCCCGGGGCUUAACUCCGGUUCGUUUCAUAAACUGGCUAGCUUGAGUAUGGAAGAGGUAAACGGAAUUUCUAGUGUAGCGGUGGAAUGCGUAGAUAUUAGAAGGAACACCAGUGGCGAAGGCGGUUUACUGGGCCAUUACUGACGCUGAGGCACGAAAGCGUGGGGAGCAAAUAG